ensembl:lncRNA
CAGUUCUCCUGCUGAAUACUAUAAAACUGCACAGUUUUCAUCCCUUCCAUUUGGAAAAGGGACCAAGAUGCACUGGAUGGGAAUUGGAUUACAGACCGGAUGGCUGAUGGAUUUUAGAUGUGAUCCCCAACUGAGACAUGAGCUUUAAGAGAGUGUCUGGGUCUGCUCAGUAGAGACAUAGGAGAUUACUGUUGCCCUGAAGAAAGCAUGAACCCAGCAAGCAAGCCAGCAUGACAUUCUGGUAAAUGAACACUCGUAUUUGGAUUGAACCCACCACAUGCAUUAUUUAACAAAGCCAGCAGGUAAGUAAUUAACUUUGGUUACUACUAAACCAAGACCAAUGAGAAGAGAUAACUUAGACUGGAAGAUUACAUAGCUUUUCAAUAGUCCCUUGGGACCAUCUAGUACUACUGUCUAACUCACCUGAACAUAUAAAGUAUUUUAGUAGAACAUCACUGUGUGUUGAAGAAUGGGUGCAAUUAAACAGCGGCAGUAACAUACUAGAAGGGAAGAAAGCUUUGUGGAAAUACCUUCAAGCAGCCAGCAGAUGCUUAGAGUUAUGGCUUAUCAGUGGUACAGAUUUUGCUCCGUACUCUGCUGGUGGUGAUCCAGGAGGCCAAUGUAGCAAUUCGCAAAGAUACAUAGAG